GAACACAUACAAUUUUGCAAGAACUCUCAAGGCAUUCCAGGAGCUUUCUGGUCGUCAAGGCAGCCUCCAAGUGCUUUCUAGGCUUCAUUAGGACCUUUGUAAGCAUUCAUAUCAUCCUCUAAUCCGUUCUAGCAUAGAUUAUUAGUUAAAAGUCAAACCGUUGUUCAUAUAGUUUGACUUUUCGAUUAAACGAAAUUGGCUCUGUCAUUUCUCAAAUUGAAACCACGUAUAAGUUGAUAUUUAUGUGGGAAACAAACCCUCAAAAGGGUAUUCUCUGAUUCCCACUCUAAGCAUGCUAUUUGUCGAGUCAAAGAUGUUCUUAAAAAGUCAACAGAAAUCGUUUUUGCGAAAUAUAGCAUAAAUGGUAAUGUAUAUGACAUGCAAUCAGUUUGAUCAUCAAAAAUAACUUAUAAUGAAUAUAAGAAUGUGUUUUAUCAUAAUCAACUCGACAAUCUUUAGUAUAAACUCGGAUCGGAACCGAAAGUCUUAUAAAACGACUUUUUCGUUGACUCUCGAUUCGGAUCCGUGCAUGCAUGUUUGAGAUCUGUAUUAGAUCUAUGCUUAACCGAUUAAUAUGCAUGUUUCCGAUUAUGCUUAAAAGUUGACUAUUUUGCCCUUUUUGAUAUAAAACGCGAUUUUUGGAAAAGUGAAAGAGUAGAAAUCUUUAUUAUUAAUUUAUAAACUUGCACCGAAAAUUUCAGAUCAGUUGGUGGUCCAGAUUUUGAGUUAUGGCCGAUAGCGUAAAACUAUAUCUUUAUGUUAAAUAAACGGUGCAUUUAGCGUAUAACCUAUUUAAGGCCACUUUUUGAUAUAAAACUUUUUACCCACUGAUGUUAUAUAAUAUUCUGGGAUUUUUGAAGAUUUUUAUUUAAUUUUUGGCUGAUCGGAUCAUACGUCGCUAAGUCGAUUCGGUUAAUGCCGGUUUUGACCGUUUAAGCCAUAAAAUGAGUUUUAUAAAUCCUUUUGACCCCAAACCUUUUUCUACUGAUUUUAUUUGUUAAAUAAAUUAUUUUGAGCAUUCUGGAAAUAUAAAAAUCUCAGCUUUCUUUUGAAAACCAGGAAACGGCUCUAAAUCGCAUUUUUAAGCGUUUUUAGCGCAUAGUAAGCGUUAUACUCAUAUUAAACAUAUAGGAUUCAUACCUACUGAUGUAUCUAGCAUAUUUUCAUAUAAUAACAGUAAGUAUAAAUGUUUGAACUCAGAUUUCCAGUUUUGGCAUUUUUAGCCCUUGUGAAAUUACUAAAAUACCCCUACGGUGCAUAGUUUGAUUUUUAAAUGAUAAGUUUUGUAUACGGGUCAUACCCUACUAUUAUAACAUGUCAAACUAAGUAUAUUUACUGUAUAAAUCAGACCUGUAACUCAGAUUUCUAAUUUAACUCUUUUAUAAUCUUUUAAAUGACCAAAAUGCCCUUAUGAGGCGUAAAUUGAGUUUAAAUACAUUCGGGGCAUAAUAGGACAUAACUUGCUGAUAUUAUAUCAUAAUUAAAGCAUAUUAUCUCAGAGAACUUGCAUAUGACUCUUUUGGCUACCCGUAACGCUCUUUAGCGCUCGGUUCGGUUUACGUAACUAGUUUGCGUAAAUUGACCGAAACGGGUCAAACGUUAUCAUUUUUAUCUCAAAAUCCAGAAUGUAUUUAGUAUACCCAUAUUAUACAAGUAUUCAAACUUGUCGGGUCUAAAUCACAUUCUAUCCGGUCUUUCGCUUAAUCGUGCGCUUGUACCGUAUCGUCCUUAAAACUAACCGGUCAAAGCUUAGGCUUAAAUAAAAGACCCGUUAGGAAUCUAAUAGGUUAUUAUAAACCUUUGUUCCAGAUUAGGAGGCCCAGUAAAAGCUACCUACACUUACCAAUUGUGAUUCAUACUUACUCAGGUAAAUACAUUUUGACUUAUUUUCCCUAUACGGGCUUGGGGUACGGUAUAUAGAAUACCGCUUGAUCGAGCGUUCAAAUCUUGCACCCUUGGGUAUGCAAUUGGAAUAGUUUGAUCGGCUCGUUUAAACAGUCUUGUUUUACUUUAAGCAUUUGGGGGGUUAUUGACCGUGUCCCGGAUAUCCUUGGCAGCAUCUUACGAGAUGGCCGCGACCUGAGCAUGGGGUGUAGGCGUACACUCGUCAUGCAUAACUCAUUAAUGUGGUGUGUCUAUUAAUCUUUAACCCGGACAAGAUCCCGGGCUACCGAACGUACGAGUAGCAUGUAAUUCGUUCACAAGUUUAUAUUGCAUAAUUAUCCCAAGUUAAUAAAAAUAUUUAUGCCAUGUGCAUUUAAAUCAAUUUUCAAUCAUUUUAAAAUGAGUCAGUUAAUUUGUAUUUACCAGUGUAAACUGACGUAUUUUCCCAAAAGGUUAAGUGCAGGUACUAUACGUACUAGGCUGGCUGUUUCCUAAAGAGCGUCCACAAUAGUCUCGCAAGCUCGGACGACAAUAAACUGUUGAACAAUAUAUCUUAUUUUAUUUGAUCCGCCUGUGGAUCCGUUUCAACUACUUGUGAUAUUUAUUAUUACAUUUUAAUUAAAGUUGAAAUGAAUCUAUU
rnacentral:lncRNA from 1 species